AUAAAGCAACGUUAAACCGUCGCGCAGCCUCCGAAAACGACGGAGCACCGCGCACUCGGUCUACCAGGAAAACAGAGAGAGACAGGUGAACAACAUAGAGGCGAAGGAGCGAGCGCGAAGAUUAAAGAGACGCGAGUAGACGUAACAAUCGAGGAACGAGGAUCAACGAGAGAGUAAUAGAAGUCGCGUGAAAGUGCGUGUCGUGCCGUGACGUCGGAAGCGUUGACACACGAAGGAUCGAGUCGAGUCGGUGUUUUGCCAUCGACAAGGCAAAUACACACGGCGCAUCGUUCAGCUGACGACGUGGUGUGUCAAAGUCGGAAGAACGAGAAGCGAGCGAGAGGCGGCUAUCGGCGAGACCGGCUGCCAUUGCCACUGGUACUAGUGUUACCAUAGCCACUGCAACCCCGGACACGCGAGAGCGUUGUCAUAACGACAAGCCGUGCGCCGCGCGUCGCUAUGGAGCCCCAGAACCAGGAAAUCGUUGCGAGCGGCUCGCCAGCCGAGGUGCCGAACGAUCCAGGGAAAAUGUUCAUCGGUGGUCUAUCUUGGCAGACCAGUCCAGGAAAAUAUCUCUUGAAUCCCGGGAUGCGAACUCAAGGAAAAUCAACGCGACUAUAACACCGCUGCGGAACUCGCAGUUUCCGCCGAGCGAAGGCUGGAUAAAGGAGCCACUUUAACAUUUGCCAAAGGAUUCGUUCAGGAACGCGAUAUUCUAUGAGACGUCGGCCGUGAAAAAAUACGAGAACGGACGCGUUAAACGCACUACUUCACGUGUAUACACCGAGAAGAGACGAAUUCGUUGCGAAACAGUGACGAGAAAAUGGAUCUAAUCGUAAAACUAAGAGAUAGAAGGGAAAGAGAAGUAUUGUAGCAGAAACGAUACAAGCGAGAUAGAAGUACCAUAGUAUCAGGUUGGG
rnacentral:misc_RNA from 1 species